rnacentral:lncRNA from 1 species
GGACCAAAAUAAAAAUCGAAAGACAAUUUGUUCAUGGAUCCCUAUUCCUAGUUAUGUAAAAUUUUUCUAGCAUUGGUGCUAGAUUCUUGUUUCUCGAAAGCUUCACAUGUGCAAUAUCCACCAAGACAUGUUCCAGUGCCUCUUGCAAUGGGGACGUUGCAGUAAACUACACAGUCCUGAUUGGUUUUACAUGCUGGGCCAAAAGCAUCCACACUUUGCAAACCUAUUAGACAUAGCAAAAAAUUGAGUCAAUUAGUAAUGCCUAAAGGUGCGCUCACACAAAAAAAAGUUCAUAAAUCGUGACAAAAUAAUAAAAGAAAGGGACAAUUCGAUGUACAAAAUAGAGAAGGCAUACCAAUUGAGAGAAGAAUCACAAACAUCAAAGAAAACAAAGUGUAUGAAGUCUUGCUCAUAGCCAUGUCUUUAGAGUGUAUUUAUAAGUGGUGACUAUGAUAAAACUAUACUAUGAUUU